rnacentral:rRNA from 1 species
AUGUUUUGCUCUGAUUCUGAUCAUGAAAACUUUGUCUUGGAGUGUGCUGUUGCUAAUAAGGAAGAGCAACAUGUAGAAGAGAAAGGAAUUGAAUCUGAAGAUGUGUAUCCUUCUGGAUUUCUAAGCUCCACUCCAACAAAACCCCUUGUGGGGAAUGCUGAGGGGACAUCCAGUUCUGGUGGUAAACUUGAAAGUAUGGAGUAUUGCGAGAGUAUUCUUAGAUCUGUAGACUUUUGUGAGUCUGAUGAAGAAGAAUUCAAGGGUGAUGAACUAAAGACUCUUCCCCCUGAAGCUGUCCAGGCCAUACAAAAUAUCUCUUUGAAGAUAUCACUGCUGGAAACCCUUGAUCAUGCUCAAGAUCAAGGGCUGGCCACUGGGAAAAACAAAUGGGGGCAUGUUCUGGUUCAGAAACCUGCUACUAGGGGACAUGGCAAUGUGAAUAUCAUGGAGAAAGCUGCGGCUUACAAGAGGAAGCAGAAUCUCGAAAUUCCUAAAACCUUCAAAGGGGCGAAGCUGGCGAGAUAUGCGUUGUGUGUUGGAUCAGGUGGGGGCAACAAUCAGGCAGUGGAAAAUCUUAUGUUCAGAGGUCCAGAGUGCUCUACUUCUCCGGUGCUUAAGGCUUUUGGAUCGGCGAAGAGGGAAACUGCUUAG